ensembl:lncRNA
GUUGGGUUCAUCUUGCAGCACCAGCUGCAGCCCCGUGCGAUGCAUGUUGGGUUCAUCUUGCAGCACCAGCUGCAGCUCCAUGCGAUGCAUGUUGGGUUCAUCUUGCAGCACCAGCUGCAGCCCCAUGCGAUGCAUGUUAGGUUCAUCUUGCAGCCUGCAGCUCUGUGCAAUGCAGCCCGGCCUCCUCCCAGCUGGGAGCUGCUGCUGCUGCUGCUGCUGGUGGGGGAUGCAUGUGCAGCACAGCAGGACGGGCUGCACCUCCUGCUCCUGCUGCUCCUGCUGCUCCUGCUGCACAGCUGCGUCCCACUGCGGCUUCCUGCCCUGCACACACACACACACACACACACACACACACACACACGUGAUGGAGCAGCAGCAGGGGCAGGAAGGCGGCGGUUCCUAUUUCCUCACAUUGUAGGCGAGUUUUUUUUGCUGCUUUGUUGUUAUUUUGGUUUAAUUUCUUUCCUUUCUGAGCCUCGCGAGGCCGACGCGACGCGAUGGAGCAACAGAGCAAACAACGCAGUCAGAACAUCCCAAUGCGUGGGGGUGCAGAGCAAAGGGAGCAGAGCAAACAGCUCCAAGAACAGAGCAAAUAAUGCAAUCAAACUCAUCCCAAUGCAUGGGGGUGCAGAGCAAAGGGAGCAGAGCAAACAGCUCUAACAACAGAGCAAAUAAUGCAAUCAAACUCAUCCCAAUGCGUGGGGGUGCAGAGCAAAGGGAGCAGAGCAAACAAUGCAAAGUCAUUGCAACACAUGGGGGUGCAGAGCAAAAGGAACAGAGCAAACAAUGCAAACUCAUCCCAACAACAAACGGAAGUGCAGAGCAAAACAAACAGCCCUUGCAACCCCAAGAACAGAGCAAACAAUGCAGUUAAAACUCAUCCCAACACGUGGGAGUGCAAAAGGAACAGAUGCAAAUGGGAAUGCAAAAGGAACAAAUGGGAAUGCAAAAGGAACAGCCCUUGCAACUCCAAGAACAGAGCAAACAAUGCAAUCAAACUCAUCCCAAUACGUGGAGUGCAGAGCAAACGGAGCAGAGCAAACAACGCAAAGUCAUUGCAACACAUGGGGGUGCAGAGCAAAAGGGACAGAGCAAACAAUGCAAACUCAUCCCAACAACAAAUGGGAGUGCAGAGCAAAAGGAGCAGCCCUUGCAACUCCAAGAACAGAGCAAACAAUGCAGUUAAAACUCAUCCCAACACGUGGGAGUGCAAAAGGAACAGAGCAAACAACGCAAAGUCAUCCCAACAACAAAUGGGAGGGCAGAGCAAAGGGAGCAGAGCAAACAACGCAAACUCAUUGCAACACAUGGGAGUGCAGAAGGAACAGAUGGGAAUGCAAAAGGAACAGAGCAAACAACUCCAAGAACAAAGCAAACAAUGCAAUCAAACUCAUCCCAACACGUGGAGUGCAGAGCAGAAGGAGCAGAGCAAACAACGCAAAGUCAUUGCAACACAUGGGGGUGCAGAGCAAAAGGAACAGAGCAAACAACUCCAAGAACAGAGCAAAUAAUGCAGUUAAAACACAUCCCAACAAAUGGGAAUGCAGAGCAAAAGGAGCAGAGCAAACAAUGCAAAGUCAUUGCAACACAUGGGGGUGCAGAGCAAAAGGAGCAGAGCAAACAGCUCCAAGAACAGAGCAAAUAAUGCANNCAAACUCAUCCCAACACAUGGGGGUGCAGAGCAAACGGAGCAGAGCAAACAACGCAAAGUCAUUGCAACACAUGGGGGUGCAGAGCAAAAGGAACAGAGCAAACAACGCAAACUCAUCCCAACACAUGGGAAUGCAGAAGGAACAGAGCAAACAACUCCAAGAACAGAGCAAACAAUGCAAUCAAACUCAGUGCAACACAUGGGAGUGCAGAGCAAAAGGAGCAGACACAAUGCAAUUAAACUCAUCCCAACAAAUAGGGGUGCAGAGCAAAGGAAGCAGCCCUUGCAGCUCCAAGAACAGAGCAAACAAUGCAAACAAACUCAUCCCAACAACAAAUGGGAGUGCAGAGCAAAAGGAGCAGCCCUUGCAACUCCAAGAACAGAGCAAAUAAUGCAGUCAAACUCAUUGCAACAACAAAUGGGAGUGCAGAGCAAAAGGAACAGCCCUUGCAACCCCAAGAACAGAGCAAACAAUGCAGUUGAAACUCAUCCCAAAAGCAAAUGGGAAUGAAGAGCAAAGGGAGCAGAGCAAACAACUCCGAGAACAGAACAAACAAUGCAAUCAAACUCAUCCCAACAAAUGGGAGUGCAGAAGGAACAGAUGCAAAUGGGAAUGCAAAAGGAACAGCCUUUGCAACUCUGUGCCUUUGCAACUCCAAGAACAGAGCAAACAAUGCAAACAAACUCAUCCCAACAAAUAAUGGGAAUGCAGAGCAAAACAAACAGCCCUUGCAACUCCAUGUUCCAGCACCCAGGCCCAGCUCUGCACCUCCAAGCAAAGCAACCCCCAAUGCAUCACGUUGCACCUCCCAGCAAAGCAACCCCCAAUGAAUCAUCUUGCACCUCCAAGCAAAGCAAAGCAACCCCCAAUGCAUCACCUUGCACCUCCCAGCAGAGCAGCAAGGCUCCGCUCUGCACCUCCAAGCAAAGCAACCCCCAAUGCAUCACGUUGCACCUCCCAGCAGAGCAGCAAUGCUCCCCAAUGCACCUCCCAGCACUGCAGCCCCCAAUGCAUCACGUUGCACCUCNCCCCAAUGCAUCACGUUGCACCUCCCAGCAGAGCAGCAAUGCUCCCCAAUGCACCUCCCAGCACUGCAGCCCCCAAUGCAUCACGUUGCACCUCCCAGCUCUGCAGCCCCCAAUGCAUCACGUUGCACCUCCCAGCACUGCAGCCCCCAAUGCAUCCCCUGCAUCAGCUGCACUGAGGCUGCACCCAGCCCCAGACGUGAGCAUCACCUUGCACCUGCAAGCAGAGCAGCCCCCAAUGCAUCACGUUGCACCUGCAAGCAGAGCAGCAAUGCUCCCCAAUGCACCUCCCAGCAAAGCAACCCCCAAUGCAUCACGUUGCACCCCCCAGCACUGCAGCCCCCAAUGCAUCACGUUGCAGCUCCC